CAGCAGCCGCAGGAAUACGAAGGGUGCAAGCGUUACUCGGAAUUACUGGGCGUAAAGCGCGCGUAGGUGGUUUGUUAAGUUGGAUGUGAAAUCCCCGGGCUCAACCUGGGAACUGCAUCCAAAACUGGCAAGCUAGAGUAUGGUAGAGGGUGGUGGAAUUUCCUGUGUAGCGGUGAAAUGCGUAGAUAUAGGAAGGAACACCAGUGGCGAAGGCGACCACCUGGACUGAUACUGACACUGAGGUGCGAAAGCGUGGGGAGCAAACAGGAUUAGAUACCCCCGUAGUCCCUGUCUCUUAUAA
rnacentral:rRNA from 1 species